rnacentral:pre_miRNA from 1 species
GAUGGCUGUGCCUUGAAGAAAUACAGUUAGUGUCAUUUCAUCAGGCCAUAGCUGUCCA